GCAUUGAUGGUUCACCGGUAGAAUGCUCGCCUUCCAUGCGGGAGACCCGGGUCUGACCCCUGGCCUAUGCA
rnacentral:tRNA from 1 species